UGUAGUAUUUCUGAGCUUGGUGCAUAAAAAACCUCCCAUGAUAGAUUCUCUGUGCUCUUUUCCUUCAUAGGAGUUGAUGUAGAGGAGUAUGGCAACAUCGGAAGUUGUGUGUUAAAGCUGGUGGAGCCACGACAUGGAAGGAGCCUAGGAUCCUGAAUCAGUGCCCAGAGCUUGUCCAAUUUCAGUUUUUCUUUUACUGAGGCCAUGGAUUCCCCCCCCCAUCCCCACCUUGACACUGGAAUUCUGCCUAAAAUGAAACAGCAACAGAACAGAGGUCAAGAACUUGGAAGGAUUCAUAUGGAAGAAACCAGCAUCCAGAAUUUGGAUCGAAUUUGAAGAAAAGGAAUCAUUUUCUCAACUGUGACAAUUCUUGAAACUUCUUGAACUCAUUUAGCUGCCGCUGCCACUGAUCCUAUUGUUUUGUUUUUUACAUCAUCAGAUUUUGAUCAAAGGGUUCACAAAAAUUAGAAAUACAGAGAGCAGAACACGCUGUGCGUCAGCUGCUAUAGAGAACAGAUGAAACAAACCCCGGGGUUUAUCGCGGGCCUGGGACUAACCCAGCCAGCAGCUUCCAAUAGAGCAAAGUCGCAAAUAAUUUCAUAUCCUUUUUUAUGAGCUUUUGUGAAAAUAAAGCUGGGUGCACACUAGAUCAACAAGCACUCUCCGAGAUGCAGGACAACCCAAAGAAGACCCUGUUAUCUGGCUAGAUCAAAUGCUGCUGUCUCAACAUUAGAUUGUAUAAUAAAUGUAAGCGACAAAAUAAGGAAUGAACUUUUUCAUGAGUUCUGAAAUGAUUCUACUUGUGUCAUUUUCUACCAUGAUUAUCAAGGAGUGUUGUCAUCUCAUUUGUAGAGGUUUUACAAGCGUUUUUUGUACAACUAAUGCCUGUUCUUUUUUUUUCUUUUGAAAAUGGACAAUACAGAGAA